GCACUAAUAACAAAAACAAAAACAGUUUCCAAGAAAUCUGUUUAAUUUGAAACAAGCAUUUAUAACUAUUGCGUAUACACUUAUAUACACGCUGUUCUCUACACUUUGAUUCGCUUACUAUUCAGUCAUGGUUUCACAUGAAAUUCAAACCCUGUCAGAUGAGCAGUUAAGAUCAACUCUUGUAGAGUACAAUGUAACAGUGGGUCCCAUUACAAAAACCACUCGGAAACUGUAUGAAAGAAAGCUAGCACGGUUGUGGCAACAAUUACCGGCUAUAACAUUAUUUUCUGAUGAAAAGGAUGAUGAGGAAGAGGAAGAGGAUGAAAAGGA
rnacentral:lncRNA from 1 species